CAGCCGCCGCGGUAAUACGUAGGUGGCGAGCGUUAUCCGGAAUUACUGGGUGUAAAGGGAGCGCAGGCGGGGCGACAAGUCAGCUGUGAAAACUAUGGGCUUAACUCAUAGACUGCAGUUGAAACUGUUGCUCUUGAGUGGAGUAGAGGCAAGCGGAAUUCCGAGUGUAGCGGUGAAAUGCGUAGAUAUUCGGAGGAACACCAGUGGCGAAGGCGGCUUGCUGGGCUCUAACUGACGCUGAGGCUCGAAAGUGUGGGGAGCGAACAGGAUUAGAUACCCUGGUAGUCCACACUGUAAACGAUGAUUGCUAGGUGUGGGGGGUCUGACCCCUUCCGUGCCGGAGUUAACGCAAUAAGCAAUCCACCUGGGGAGUACGGCCGCAAGGUUGAAACUCAAAGGAAUUGACGGGGGCCCGCACAAGCAGUGGAUUAUGUGGUUUAAUUCGAAGCAACGCGAAGAACCUUACCAGGUCUUGACAUCCGACUAACGAGAUAGAAAUAUAUCAGGUGCCCUUAGGGGAAAGUCGAGACAGGUGGUGCAUGGCC
rnacentral:rRNA from 1 species